AACGCGAAGAACCUUACCAGGUCUUGACAUGCACUGGACCGGCGCUGAAAGGCGCUCUUCCCGCAAGGGACCGGUGCACAGGUGCUGCAUGGCUGUCGUCAGCUCGUGUCGUGAGAUGUUGCGUUAAGUCGCGCAACGAGCGCAACCCCUGUCCUUAGUUGCCAUCAUUAAGUUGGGCACUCUAGGGAGACAAACCCUCUUUGAGGGUGGGAAGGUGGGGAUGACGUCAAGUCAGGAUGGCCCUUACGACCUGGGCUGCACACGUGCUACAAUGCCCAGUACAGAGGGAAGCAAGACCGCGAGGUGGAGCAAAUCCUCAAAACUGGGCCCAGUUCAGAUUGUAGUCUGCAACUCGACUACAUGAAGUUGGAAUCGCUAGUAAUGGCGCAUCAGCUACGGCGCCGUGAAUACGUUCCCGGGCCUUGUA
rnacentral:rRNA from 1 species